CUGGAGAUUUUUAAAAGGUGGCUCUCUCUCUCUCUCUCUCUGUGAAAUUCUUCCAAUUUCCAUUAUGUUUCACUGUGAUUAUUGGAGAGGUUAAAGAAUUGUAUAACUAUUGUGUUGUAGACUUGAAAGAAAGGUUUCAAUCUGUUAUUUUUUAGUGUGGUGCACUAGUUUAGCUGUGUUAGUUCUUGUCAAGUUUAGGGUUGAUUCUUAUAUCUGGUUCUUGAGAUCUUUAUGUGAUCUAUGAUUAGAACCUUAAGAAAAAGUCAGAUUGGUUCCUUUGUACAUUGAUCUCUUUGGAAGGCUGGUUUUACAUAGUGGAUUGGGCUGAUCCUGAGCCCCCCAGAUUAGCCCUUAUUUGGGUGAACUGGGUGACCAUUUUUUGGUGUUCUUAUUCUUUACAUUUUCUGCAUUUUAUUUACUGUUUGAGAUGUUGUGAUUUUUGCCAAAUGAUAGAUGUUUUUGGUUUGACUGAGUGGCUGAAACUAAAAGAUCAUUGAGGUAAAAUCAAAUCUGGGGCCAAUAAUCCCAACAGAUUUCCAUUUCUAGGAAAAUGAAAUUGAAGAGUGGAUUUAAGAGAUUAUCCAUAUUUUGUUGUUGCUUUUUGUUUGCAGAUUGAAAGCCAAUCUGCAGUUGACACAUAGUUGAAAUGAGAUGCUGAGCUAUCAUUGUUGAGCUUGGAUAUUCUCAGUUUUUGAGUUUGUUUUUGUUUUUGUUUGUAUAACAUAGGACAUGGGUGUGUGGUUACGGUUGUUUGAGUAAUAUAAUUAAAUCCUUGAAGAUUGUUCUUUAAAUAUCUUUUCAAUUGCUUAUUUGUACGAAAAUAACAUUUUAGUAAGAGACUUGCUAGAAAAACAGAGAGUCUGACGGGCCCCCUGACCGACCCCACCCAUGGCGGGACUGGGGCCUGUUAGCCCUGUUUAUCUAGCAAAUUUCUUUUAGUGAUCGUGUGUUAUUCUUCUUUACACUUCCGCUUGCAUAAUUUUGCCUACUACUUGUCUGAAUUUUUCUGGUACCUAGACUCAGCAUGUUGACCUUAAUUGACACUGUUCACUUUCGAUUGUAAAUGUAUUAUCAAACAAAUUAGGGUGUAUUUGAUGACAAUGAUCGUAGUUAAAGCGGAUGUUGUGAACAAUGGAACAAUGAAGUUGGAUGAAGAAUUAUGAAGACUCUGGAGAAAAAUGGAAAGCUGGAAUUCAAAAUGUGGUAGACUUAAGAGCAAAAACAUGUUCUUGUACAAGUUAUGUUAAGGUGUGAAUAUAAUUAUCCAUUUAAAAAGUAGAAAUGGGAUAAAAUGACAGUUUUUUGCUCUUUUAAUUAUUUUUACUCGUCA
rnacentral:lncRNA from 1 species